rnacentral:rRNA from 1 species
GACGAACGCUGGCGGCGUGCCUAAUACAUGCAAGUAGAACGCUGAAGGAGGAGCUUGCUUCUCUGGAUGAGUUGCGAACGGGUGAGUAACGCGUAGGUAACCUGCCUGGUAGCGGGGGAUAACUAUUGGAAACGAUAGCUAAUACCGCAUAAUAGCAGUUAUUGCAUGAUAACUGUCUGAAAGGUGCAAUUGCACCACUACCAGAUGGACCUGCGUUGUAUUAGCUAGUUGGUGGGGUAACGGCUCACCAAGGCGACGAUACAUAGCCGACCUGAGAGGGUGAUCGGCCACACUGGGACUGAGACACGGCCCAGACUCCUACGGGAGGCAGCAGUAGGGAAUCUUCGGCAAUGGACGGAAGUCUGACCGAGCAACGCCGCGUGAGUGAAGAAGGUUUUCGGAUCGUAAAGCUCUGUUGUAAGAGAAGAACGAGUGUGAGAGUGGAAAGUUCACACUGUGACGGUAUCUUACCAGAAAGGGACGGCUAACUACGUG